rnacentral:piRNA from 1 species
UCCUAGCCCUGCCAUUUCCUGCCACAGUCC